UGCAUCAGCUCCUGCUGUCUGACCUCCU
rnacentral:misc_RNA from 1 species